UAUGGAACUUCAGGCUUGGAGAAGUUGAACAAUGUGUGCAAGCCAUAUUGCUAAUCUGAACCAUGAGUCCAACUAUGUCCUGAGUCCUGCGAGUACUGGAAAAUUUCAGAAUAUAAGGAAAGAUCAAUGGAACAAAGCUUCAGAUUACGGAAGUUGCUCUUUUUGAAUAGUGAUGGGGCUGGAGGCCUCCAGAUGCUGACUUCCUAGUCCCCUUGGUACUUGAGUGGAGUCUCUUGUUGGCAUGUCUCAUGUGGUGUUAGGUUGCUCCUGGUUCAGACAUGUGGACUAUGGAUGAUCCUUACACACAUUACCAAGAACACCAGAGAAGCAAACCUCACUUCUGACACCACUAUUCUGUGGUCUCCAAAGCAUCUCAUUUCACAAUUUCAUAUUGUUUUUCUCUCCGCAAGCCGACCAAAGCAUCUGGCAGCUAUGCUGCUGAGUCAGCAGGAAAGACUCUGUUUUCCCUUCACUGCCUGGCAACAUCUUCAGUUUGGAAAAGAGUUCUCAGAUCUGACUGUGCUUCUGGAACUUGUCCAGAACAAAAGGAAGCCACUGAAAGAAAGACUUGAAAUUGCAUGAAAUUAUAUACCAAGAUGCUAAAAAAAAAAAAAGAUUGUUCAAAUGAAACACAGUGAGACUAGAAAACAUUCUUAUGUGUGGAUUACUUUAUUCCUAGAAACAAAAUAUAACAGAUAACUAACAGCAAAACUAUGCCAAACAUUCUGAAAAAAAUAUUAUGGAGACCAACUCCAUGUGGUAAAACACAGGGUGUGUAAAUAGAAUCUUCACUGCUUGCUUGCCAUGGUCAGAUUGUUUGUUAGGUGCUUUGAAUGCAGUGCUUUAUUGUACAUAACUGACAAAAACCCAGAGAGGCUGUCAUUUUUUUUUCAUUUACCACUCCUGUUCGUCAUGGCACCUCUCACAAUAGCCAAGUUGUGUCAUCAGACUACAUGGCCAUCAGCACAUCAAUGGAUGAGGUCAAUACGGCACAUAGACACAAUGGAGUUCAGCUGGAGGGAAAUCAACAAAAAUGGAUCAUUUAUGAAAAUUCCAUAACAAAACCUAUUAUUCUGUGUGUUAAGUAAAAAAUAAACCAGUAAGAAUAAUGGAGGUGGAGAGGAUCAUGCUAAACAAAAUAGCCAAACUUGUAAGACAAAUGUCACAUGGUUUUCCUCAUGUCUGGAAGCUACAUUUAAAAUACAUGUGUGUAAGACGGCAAAGUAGAAGGCCACUAUUUAGAAAGAGGAAGGGGAUCAGAGGAAAAGAAAGGGGGGAUAAGAAAGGGAUAAGAAAGAUGAGCAAGCGAAUGCAUGAAAGGUUCAUAAUGAAACCCACAUAUCGUAACGAACAUAUGCCGAGAAAAGAAGAGAAAGUAAUUUCGUCAAGUCAUAGUUUUCUUUCUGAAUGGCCAUGUUGUCAAACUGCCUUCUAAAUAUUUAUGUUACAUAGAGUUGGACUGGUUUCAGCUUGUCAGUGGGCAGCAGUCAAUGCAGAGACUCAUGACUGACCAAAGAAUAAGUGAAAAUGGUCAGACUUAAACACAGUGCAACCGAUUAUGACUAGUAAUAAUCAGAUACAUACAGAUUAGAGAUGCAUGCACCAACAUCUCAGUGU